GCGCAGUUACCCAGGGCAGAAGCCAAGCCCCGAAGCCGAGCCCAGACCAGCGGCGAUUGGCAGGACUUUAAAUGUCUUUGGUACAAGAAAAGGAAUUUGAAUUUGCAAAGUGGGAUAAAGCUGCCAGAGUCAUUCAGAAGGCCUGGAGAAGGUUUCUCAAUAUCGCUAUUUUCCAAUACUUUAAAAGUCUGAUUGAUAUAAGAAGACAAGGAGAACCACGUCACAUAAUAAGAUGUAUUAAUCCU